GGGCCACAGCUCAGUGGUAGAGCAUCUGCUUUGUGUGCAGAAGGCCCUGGGUUCAAUCCCCGGCAUCUCCA